AGGCGGGAAACGCCAACACAUGGAUGGAGGCGGGGGACCCAAUUGGUUCGCCGAAAUCGGACCGGAGCCGUGCGCGGCUCCUUGGGGUGAAGCCAACGCCGUUCCCGCGGGGCGACGUGGCCGGGCAACUCUCUCUGGUUGCACACCAGCCCGAACCCGACAGCUGACCUCGAAGGCGCAUCGAGAGAGGACAU
rnacentral:sRNA from 1 species